ACUCUCGAAAUCCUGCAAGAUAGGAUGAUUUUGAAUCAGUGAUUAGGUUUUAUCUGACCAAUUCUUGGAAACUAUCAGCUUUAGCAGUAUUUUGGGGAAUCCAAAGCCUUAGCUUGUGUAUGGUCCGGAUAUCACCGAGCACCCAAGUAUAAAUAAAUCUUACAACUCCCUAACGGAAACUUAAUGAUUUCAACUUAAGUUGCAUACUGACGUAGGAUUUGGGCUGACUUAGUAAUUAAAACUUUGUAUGCUUUUGAAAUUAUUGGCACUUAUGCAUUUGAAAUUAGAUUUUAUGUAACGAUAAAAUAAAUUGGAAAGAGACCACAGUUUGUAGGUAUCUGAGCCGGAAACCCUCACGAGACAAAACUCGUCCACUAGGGCUACCUAGGGGUUUAAAGCCUUAUUGCAUACGGUAAAUGCAAUCGCGAUUCUUGCGAAAGUGAGUUAGUUUUUUUAUUUUAUUUUGCUCGAGGACUAGCAAAAUAUAGGUUGGGGGGUGUGAUAAGUGCUAAAUAAUGCAUAAAUUAAUAUCUUAUUCAUAGCACUUAUCAUUAUUUUAAUUCAUAUAUUUUGUGAAUUUAACCAUAAAAGAUGUGUUACCCUCAUCAUUGCAUUUUAAUAAAUUAAUUCGAGUUUGAUUUAAUUAUUUAUUAAUUGAGCCUAAUGUAUGCAAGUCAAGUCAAGCUCAAUAAAAUAAAGUCUAAACCUACACUGCAUCAUUUCAUAAUUUCACACCCUCCGGAGUCGACUUCAAGAACUUUUCUCCAAAAUCCAGUGCUUCCCAUUAAUUCCUGACUGUUUUCAAUUUUACCUAAAUUUCUUCUCACUCGUUCCAACUCUCUUUCUACGUGUUCCAAUUCUCCUAUUUUAACUUUAAAAAUAAUAGAAUCCCUUCAAACAUUUGUCUCUCAGAUCUCAAAAUAUAUCAUCUCUAGCCGCACGGAUCCUAAAGAAUUCUAGCGUUGGCCUCUUCCGUUUCCCAGCCGAAAACAGAGCCAGCUCAAUCCCAUCUUCUCCGUGAUUCUCUUCCUCCUUAAAUCCUUCCCUCCCAAAGAACAGAUUCUUCUCUUCCGGCUUGAUCUCAUAAAAUCCCCAACGUCCCAGCACCAUCAUCCUCUUCCCAUCGUAGUCUUCACUUCCAGCCAUUCCCUCCAUCUUCACGGGAUAAACUCAAAUCCCAUCCCCCAGCUCAUCCCGCCUUCAUCCCUUUCAGCAUCCAUCAAUUCCCUUCCGUCCGCAUGAACCCAGCAACCGCAUCCAUGGAUAAAGAUCAAAGCCCCAGCUCAUCUGCCUCAGCAAACAGAACCCAAGUCUUCAUCGAUCCAGCCAUAUCCACGCUUCCUCUGUUCGCAGAUUGACUCCAUCAUCCACGUCCUCCCUAGCUCCCGUGUCCCACGAACAAAACCAAGCCAACGUCUUCCUAGAUUUUCUCCCGUUCGCGAUCGGAUAUGCCAUCCACACCAUCCUUUUCGAACCGUUUCUCUGCUUCCGGAAGAGAUGGAGCAACCGUACGCGUCUUCCCCGCAUUCACCUCCCCUGCUUCACGUCCGUAGCCAACUUUAUGAGAUCUUCCACAUCUAAAGAGCCGUUGGCCUGUUCCCAGCCAACUCCACGAAUUCCCAACCGAAUCUAUCAACCUCAUCCCGUAGCAUCUCAAAUCUCCCAACCAUUUCCUUCAGCCUCCGGAUAAGCUUAAAUCCCUUGCUUCGCGUCUGGAAUCCAGCAGCAUUGCGAGCGUAUCUUCACAUCUCGAUCACUUCCCACAGAUAAGUCCAAGCUUAUUGAGGUGGGCAGCCUAUAAAAGGCCAGGCGUGAAACAGAGGAAGCAACUUGGCUGGGGAGUGGGGAUCCACUCCUCUUCGACUCUUCUCAGGUUGAGUUCCCACAAGAAUAAAAGGGGAGAGAGGGAGCCGGCUGGUGGAAGGAGCCAAUCAUCAUGAAGUUCCCCUACAGUGCAGCUGUUCAACUCUUCAUGGAAGGCUGAUCUUCUCUUUAGGGCUGGAUGCAGCCCUAACAAAGGGACACGAGUUUUAUAUUUUAUUUUAUAUUCUUGGGGUUGUAUGAACUUAUUGUUUUCAAUGGAUAUCUUCUUUUGAAUCAUAUUUAAUUUCUGUGAUUUUAAGUAUGAUGUUCGUACAACUGUUCUUCAUGAUCACUAAGUAAAUAUAAGAUAGUCCAUGCUUAGGGAAGAUGCAGUGUCCUGCCACAUUAGUUUAGAAUAGACAUUUCAUGCCAACCGAAGAUGGAUUAUUCCCAAAUUAUUUUUGUGAAUUUUUAUUUAAAUGCUUAUUAGGCUUGUAGCCAAUUUGCAAAUUAAUCCAAAAAUAAAUCAAAAUACAAAUAACCCUUGUUCCGAUGUUAGUGGUGAAUUUCUUGCCCUAGGUUUUCCUCAAACUGAUA
rnacentral:lncRNA from 1 species